AUCACGGGCAACCGAAGCGCCACGUCGCCUUAAUUGGGACUUCGGAUGCUGGGUGACUGCACAUCCGAAUUUCGGAUGCUUUUUGGGAAGGUUUUUCAAGCCGACAACACAUUCCAUGCCUGCCACUCCUCAAGAUCCUUGGUUCUGUAAAGCACUCCUUGCGUAAUGUCUGCUACUUCUUAAAACCUUAGUGUAGGCGUCCACAGCACCAACCGUGCACGGUUCUGCCAUCUACCCCGCGAUGUCCGCGCCUGCCCCCGCCUCCCCCGUCCGCACCGUGCACCCGCCUUCGCCGCCCGUUGCCGAGAAAUCUGCGCCGGUCACCGAGAAAUCCGCCCUCUCCUAGCCGCCCGCAGAUGGAAACCCUACGACCCCUCCCUCCCCUCACCGCCUCCCCAGCCCGCAGUCUCUCCUCAACCUCCCUGCCUCCUCAUAAAUCUCCUUCCUUCCCUCAAUCGCACGCCAGGAAUCUCACUCGAAACCCUAGCGCAGCCGAACCCCACUGUCGUCUUCUUAAUCGCCAUCGUCUUCGUCGUGUUCCUCCCAGGGUCGGGCAUCAUCGAGAGGCCCAAGCUGACGCUCCUCUCGAACCGCGUGGGAGAGGGACGCGUCAGAGGCAGGAUUGAGGACGACAGCCACGACGAGCGAUCUGUGGACUAUGGGAGCGUGCCAUGAGAUGUACCCAUUGGCUUUUACGCCGCCUGUACCACCGGAGGAAUCGCCAGCUGUGGGCUCACCCACAUGGUCGUCACGACGCUCGGCCUCGCCAAAUGCAACAUGCAGAUAUGCAUGGGGUGGUGAGACUCAUCACAGUGUUGGGAAAAUAAUUGACAUCGAGAGUGAUGGCCUGCUCACCAUUGAUAUUCCUAAUUGGGCAACACCAUGGCAGGCAGAUCCAUCAGACAUGGAAAAGAUUGAGAACUCUAAUGUGAGCAAUUGGAUUAGAGUCAAAGCGAUAGUUCCUUCACCCAAAUAUGGAUGGGAGAAUGUGACUCGUAAUAGUAUUGUGAUAGUUCAUAGUCUAUAGGAUGAGAAAAUGUUAUGUAAUUCUGACCAGCAGGUAAAGAUUGAUGUGUAGCUAAUUAUAACCAUUCCGUUACAUUUGAAUAUCUGACUAACGAGAAUUUAGAGAUAUUUUCCAUGGAGCUGCAAAAUGCAUAAGAUCUUUUUGUGGGCAUUUUGAUCUAUAUUAAUGUUGUAAAAAGGUAUUUUGACAAUUCUUUUAACUGGAAACAAUCUUCAUUCAAUUGGCGACCUGUAGUACAAUUAUAUACCUACAUUGUUAUUAUUUUACAUAAUUUUUUUUGGACUGAUAUGGCCUUGAAUGUCCUUUAUAUUCACUCUUGACUGUUACAAGUGUCAUCUAGCUAGAAAACACAUUUGUAGUGUGGUGGUUGGUCACCAAGUAGUGGGACCAACUAGCUGGGUAAUAACAGUGGUCAUCGACCUUGGUUACCCUAUGCCCUAUGGGGUGAGGCUAGGACUCAGGGUCUAAAAAUUAGCAUAACAUCUUUUUGUGGGCAUUUUGAUCUAUAUUAAUGUUGUAAAAAGGUGUGUUUGACAAUUCUUUUAACUGGAAACAAUCUUCAUUCAAUUGGCGACCUGUAGUACAACUAUAUGCUUACAUUGUUAUUAUUUUACAUAAUCUUUUUUUGGACUGAUAUGGCCUUGAAUGUCCUUUAUAUUCACUCUUGACUGUUACAAGUGUCAUCUAGCUAGAAAACACAUUUGUAGUGUGGUGGUUGGUCACCAAGUAGUGGGAGCGGAGAUCGGAUCUGCAAGGAGCUGAUUCCUUCUCUCGCAGGUGAGGGUGCCCUUGCUUUCUUCGAUGGACUCCUCAUGUUAUUCUGUAAAUCUCAGCUUUGUUAUUAGCACUAAAUCAGAUGUUUCUUUCGCUACUUGGAGUCGUGAAUUGGUCUAGCAGGUAAGCAUCCAAGGAAUAUUUUUAGUUCAACUUUCAGCAAACAAUACAAUCGUUACCUAUCCACUUACCAAAUGGUUUACUCUGCACGUGUUAUUAUCUUGGUUCAAUCCUACGAUUAGGUUUGGAAUUUUGGACUGCUUGGUAAAUCCUAAAUUACACUUUUUUGUAAAUAUGUAUCUUGAUCAAUAUGGAUUCUUGCGACAGUUGAUAUCCAACGAUAAUAGUUUAGGUGCAUGUUUAAAUUAAUAGAACAAAUAAUAUAAUGAAAUUGUUUUGCUGGAUUUGCUUCUCAUGGUUUUACUCUGCAAGUUUAACCUGCAAAUUUUCAGUAAUUUUCUGUACCUUCUCGCUGGGGUGGAGCGGAGAUCGGAUCUGCCAGGAGCUGAUUCCUUCUCUCGCAGGUGAGGGUGCCCUUGCUUUCUUCGAUGGACUCCUCAUGUUAUUCUAUAAAUCUCAGCUUUGUUAUUAGCACUAAAUCAGAUGUUUCUUUCGCUACUUGGAGUCAUGAAUUGGUCUAGCAGGUAAGCAUCCAAGGAAUAUUUUUAGUUCAACUUUCAGCAAACAAUAUAAUCGUUACCUAUCCACUUACCAAAUGUUUUACUCUGCACGUGUUAUUAUCUUGGUUCAAUGCUACGAUUAGGUUUGGAAUUUUGGACUGCUUGGUAAAUCCUAAAUUACACCUUUUUUGUAAAUAUGUAUCUUGAUCAAUAUGGAUUCUUGCGACAGUUGAUAUCCAACGAUAAUAGUUUAGGUGCAUGUUUAAAUUUACAGAACAAAUAAUAUAAUGAAAUUGUUUUGCUGGAUUUGCUUCUCGUGGUUUUACUCUGCAGGUUUAACAUGCAAAUUUUCAGUAAUUUUUUAGUGCCCUUCUGAUUCCUUUUUUACAAUGAUGUGGCAGGAACUUGAUCAUGUUGUGCCUCUGAUCAGAGCUUUGGCUCUUCUUAAUUCUCAUACUUCUUCUACCUCAAGUUGGUAGGCUCAAGACUCUUGAUUCACUAAAGAAUAUAGGUGUAAACCCCUAUCCUCAUAAGUUCCUGGUUAGUUUUGAGCCUAGAGGAAUAUGAAUGCUGGCUACUUACUGAUAAUGUUUUCUUUUGUGUGCAAACAUGUCCUCUGAUGCUUAGGGUUUUCACAAGGGUAAGCAUGCUUAUGUCUUCUUGUUUCUAUCUUAAUGAAUUUAUUUAUUGGUUACCCUGUGCUGAUUAGCACUUCACUUCAGUUUAGAUAUUUAUAUAUUGUGGCAUUUUUCUAGGACUUCGGUUAACAUGUUUAGACAUUGUUCUUGUGUUUCCUAGUGGGGGUGCUUAGAUCCAGUUGAGAUCUAUGUCCGUGUAUUGGUCGUUAUUUGUUUUCUCUAAUUACUCGGUGGCUCUGCAUAAUGCUGUAGGAUUUAAAAUUUUCAAAGUAUGCUCUCUGCUUUAAACAUGUAAAAAUACACUCAUGUUUUAUCCACAAAUUUGUACCAGUUUUGUUUGAUUACUUACUUCGCUUAUCUUGUCAUGCUUGUGCUUGCUUGGCCUGUGAUCGCGUUGUUGUAUAUUAGAAUAAUGCAAAGGAGAUGCUAUGCUAUAAACUUUGCCUAUCAAUGUAUUCAUUCACAAACUCGCCAUCAUUGCAUACAUAUUUGGUUUGGAGAAAUCGAGUGAGAUCCUCAAUCCAGCUCUAACAAUUCUCCUUUUAUUCAGUCGAUGCACUGGUCAACAGUAGCUUGGCGAAAUUGGGCUAUGAGUAUGUUAUUAUAGUUCUAGAUCAUGAUCCAUAGCUGAAAGGUUUUUCAUAUCUUCUUUCAUAUGAUUGUUGGGCAAAGUCUGCCUGGGACUACCAGGUUAGAAGAUCAAGUUUGCCUAUAGAUGCACUAUUCUAACCACUAACCACCCCAAUAAUUUUCAGCGUUAAUAUCAGUGCAAGAAAAAAUACUCUACUUUUAUUUUCCUCAUACAGGAUGACUAGACUACAUUUUAGGAUUGAAGGUCUUUCACUAUUGAUAAAUUUGCAUUUUUAUUGCACAGCGAAACUUUGUUGCAAAUAGAUAAAAACCUUCCCAUCUUGCAAAAGGGUUGAAGCUUGGCCUCUACAAUGACGCGGGGACACAAACCUGCAGCCAAAAAAUGGCAGUAUCACUUGAUCAUGAAGACCAAAUGUGAAAAUUUUCAUCUUGGGCUAAAAAAUGCUAGUAUCACUUGAUCACAAAGAGCAAGAUGUGGAAAAAAACAUCAUGGGUAAAUCUAUUUAUGUUUAUUUCCUGACAACUGUGACAAGUCAACAGUGACAAAAGUAUCUGAUCGUCUCUUGUUCUAAGUUCCUGGUAUUGUUCCAACUCUUCUUCAUUCUAUUUAAUAUCUGAUCAUCUAUUUAUUGUACGUACUGAUUAAAAAUAUGAUGACUAUAAUAAUGCUGGUAGGAGUGUGACAGAGAUGUAAACAAGAACAAUGAUUCCCUGAGUUGUAGUUGGCGGGGUCAGAGUCGAUGAAGAAUCUAUCAUCGUUAACCCAUGUCCGCCAGAAUGUGACAUUGAAUGGAGUGACUCUGUGCUAGAUGACAUUGAUCAUGUAGUCUCAAACAUCUGAGACGAUAUCCAGUCUAUCUGAGUUGUGUUGCCUGAUGUGAUGUAGGUAAUCCAACUUGCUGCAGCAGGCGAGGAGCGAGUGCCCCUGCUAGAAGAGUGCUAGCUCUACGCAUACGGUCGCUUGACAAACAUGUGUUGUUAACUGUUGUAUACAAUGUUACUAAUUAUUGUCCUUUAUUCUCUUAUGCUACUUCUGUAGUUGAUGCUCACAUUGUUCUCUCAUUUCCGUCUAAAUUUUGUAUGUUAUGCCAAAAGACCAUAUGUUUUUUGUAGUUUUUUUUAAAAAAAACUAGCUCUCUGUUUUUAUGAUUGUGUCGUCGCAACGCCAAGCCCUCUGCCGCCUCCACUGUUCGCCCUGCCAACCUAGGUAUGCGAAUCUCCAAUCCAUGUGAGGAUUCAGAGCUAGACUAGAUGUAGCUUCCGGCCUAUAUGAUUAGUUGUACUUGUAUUGUAAUCGAUCAGUGCAGGCACCGCAGAUGUGCUGCCGUAUGUGGGGAGCAGACAGUCAAUUUACGUCUAGGUCUAAAUAAAAUAGUAGUGAUUAAAUCUUUGAAUCUGUAGAUCAAACCAUCUCAAGUAAUUUUAGUUUUGUUAUGAAAAUUUUUAGCUCAGAUGAGAUAAUUGCAUUUUGAUUAUUAAGAUUUAACAUACAUCUGGUUCUAUGAGGAAGGAAAUCAUAAGUGGAGAUUGAAGUUGAUCAACUUGACACUCGAAUAAAAGAAUCAACAAGUAUUGCAAGUGCUGAAAGUUGUGACUGCUCAAGUCCAACUGCUUUAUCGCACAAGUUCUGGUGAAGAUACUUAUUCUAGAAUCUUCAAAAGCAUCAACGUUAGUGUUCAAGAAUUCAAAGAGUAACUGAAGAUGGAAGACUAAGAUGACAUUUAUGGAGAUCUAUUUUUGUAAAUGGGCUUAGUACCUGUUUCUGUUUGGUAAAGGAGGUAACCGGUCAAUCCUAUUUACUUUGUGACACCACAUCAAUCAUAAAGGAGGUAACCGAUUUUCUUAGACUGGCAUUCAUAUAGCCAGCCUACCACACAAUCCCCAUCCUCCACUUCAACAACCAAUUUCUAAAUGGAUCCAUCAACCAAUUUCUAAAUCGAUGAUUUUUGAUUGUUUGAUUUUGGUGUAGACUCUCGAUUUAAACAAUUUCAAGUGCCUGUAGAAUGUAGUUUGGAUGUGAACUGAAGUAGUGAUAGUUGCUACUGACCUGCCUUCAUAAUUUUUGCAAAUGGUCUGGGAUAGUUCGGUGAUGCUGUUCAUAAUCAUGUGCCUUCAUAUUGAGGAAGCAUGCAACCUGAUACAAAAGCAUAGAUGAUGGGUAAGAGUGUUUGUGCUUAUGCUCAAAUGUUAGAUAUGCUUUUUUCAAAUAUCGACAGCCAUAUGGACACAUAUGUUAAUGGCUGCCAAAAAAACUUUAAAGUCCACAUGUUAACUAUAAGUUUAGACAUCCGUGGUAGGACAUUUAUCAUUUUAGAUAGCUACAAACGUAACUUAACUUUCAACUACCUAUGUACCAGACCCAUCACAUGUCUAUGUUAUCAUUUUAUUCAGAUCGUUCAUGAUUUAUAGUUAACAUGUUGUCGUGGCUCAACAUUCCAUCUGGUCCAGUUAUGGAAGGUCCAUUUGAUUCAUGUGUGCUCCUAGAUUAUCAUUUGCACCUGACAGUAAUAUGUGUAUGUACUACAAUGAUCAUCUUCUGUUGCCAGUCUAGCGCAUGUUAUGCUUCUUGAUGUUAUGACUUCACAUCAAUCUAUCCACCCAUCUACUGUUAGUCAUAUGCCAUUUUUACCACCGUGAAUUUUACCGUUGCAAGAUCAUGGAUAAGCAUUUGAAGACCCUUGCCCCAGUCUACGUGGGAACAAAAUUCGUCAAGCUUGAUGCUGAAAUCUGUAUACUACCACUUGGCUAUAAACUACAUCCUUUUAAUAAUCAUGGAGCCUAAUUCCAUAUGUAACUAACUGCAGAAUGCUCCAUUCUUUGUGGCCAAACUGGCAAUCAAGACACUGCCAUGUGUAAUAUUGUUCAAGAAGGGAAUUGUUGUUGACCAAUUAGUUGGGUUUCAAGAUCUCAGAAGUAAAGAAGAUUUUCUGACAAUAGCAUUGGAACAUAUUCUUAUUCUCAAGACGAAAGGGAUAAUCGAUGAGAAGAAGACAGAUAACGACGAUGACGAUGAAGAAAGCGAGGCUAAGAAUAGGAGGGUUAGGUCCUCAACUGCUCAAGACUCUGACUCAAACUGAACCUGAGAUGAGGAUUGAGGACGCACCGUUUUUUGCACUUUGGAUUUUGUUUGUUUAUUUGUUUGUUCUGUGUUUGUGUUGUAUUGUACUGUAAUUGAUUUUUGUAACCAUGUAUCGGUACCAGACACCACAACAAUAACAUGUACAAGAGAUUCUUUAGCAUCCAUUGUGUGUAAAAGCUAGGGUUUGUGGCUGCCUUUUAUUUCGUUUUUCCUCAGCUGUCAUAGGAUGGUACACCACAACAAGAACAUGUACAAGUAUGCCAUAGCUUGUCUUUCUUGCUUCUUAAGACAUUGUUCUGCCUUUUGGCACUUAUGGCA